UUCCGGUUGAUCCUGCCGGACCUGACUGCUAUCGGAUUGAUACUAAGCCAUGCGAGUCUUUGCAGUAAUGCAAGGCAUACGGCUCAGUAACACGUAGCCAACUUACCCUAUGGACGAGGAUAAUCUCGGGAAACUGAGCAUAAUACUCGAUAGAUCAUAAUGCCUGGAAUGGUUUAUGGUUGAAAUGAUUCGUCGCCAUAGGAUGGGACUGCGGCCUAUCAGCUUGUUGGUGAGGUAAUGGCCCACCAAGGCGAUUACAGGUACGGGCUCUGAGAGGAGAAGCCCGGAGAUGGGUACUGAGACAAGGACCCAGGCCCUAUGGGGCGCAGCAGGCGAGAAAACUUUGCAAUGUGCGAAAGCACGACAAGGUUAAUCCGAGUGAUUUCUGCUAAAGAAAUCUUUUGCAAGUCAUAAAACCACUAGUGAAUAAGGGGUGGGCAAGUUCUGGUGUCAGCCGCCGCGGUAAAACCAGCACCUCAAGUGGUCAGGAGGAUUAUUGGGCCUAAAGCAUCCGUAGCCGGCUCUGUAAGUUUUCGGUUAAAUCCAUGUGCUCAACGCAUGGGCUGCCGAAAAUACUGCAUAGCUAGGGAGUGGGAGAGGUAGACGGUACUCGGUAGGAAGGGGUAAAAUCCUUUGAUCUAUCGAUGACCACCUGUGGCGAAGGCGGUCUACCAGAACACGUUCGACGGUGAGGGAUGAAAGCUGGGGGAGCAAACCGGAUUAGAUACCCGGGUAGUCCCAGCUGUAAACGAUGCAGACUCGAUGAUGCAUUGGCAUAUAGCCAGUGCAGUGUCGCAGGGAAGCCGUUAAGUCUGCCGCCUGGGAAGUACGUACGCAAGUAUGAAACUUAAAGGAAUUGGCGGGGGAGCACCACAAGGGGUGAAGCCUGCGGUUCAAUUGGAAUCAACGCCGGA
rnacentral:rRNA from 1 species